CUACCUGCAUCGGUUUCCGACACAUUUCACCGCGAGAGGCGCUUCGAAUAUUUUUCAACUCUAUCGGAAAUUAAUGGAAACUAUUCAAUGUUCCAUCAAACUCCAACAGAUGGUGACUCUGUAUCAUAUACAAGUUUACAGUGCUUGCCUCAGAUUAGGGAAGAUUUUAUUUUAUGAUUUUUUGCUUUCGAUUAUAAUUUGAAUAAUCAUUUGGAAAUGCCCUACAGCGCAUUGUUUUAAACAUGUAAUGUAUUUUAUAUAAAACAAAGUACAUGUGUUGCUUUGCUGUUAAAAUGAGUAUAUAAAAUAUUUAAAUUUUACAUUCGGUGCGGGAAAUGGUGCAGUACGGUAGGCCUACCACAACAACAUUUUGACAGUUCGUUUCAUCAGCAGUGAAAUUCGCGACUACGAAGGUUGAUGAGCCGGGAAACACUCUUUCUUCCUACGGGGUUUCUUAUGGGAGUAUGACUGAAAAAAAAGCAUUAAAUCUUCCCUCCUUCACUUUCUCCCAGAAAACCGCAAACAAAAUCAUCACCUUCGAAGUUCCAUCGCAUCGCAGCAGCAGCAGCCAAACAUCGUAUGUAAAUAGGCAGAUAGUGAAGAAAAUACACGAAUUUUUUAUUACGAAUGAUUUCGAAGCAAGUAGGCCUACCUACCUAUCGCGAAAAAGAUCCGAAUAGAGUCAUAAUUUUAUCAGCCAAUGACGGAAUAAUUAAAAAAAAAAACAGGCCACCUCAUCAUGCGAAGCGAAAUCCGUCGAGAAGUCAGGUGUUUCUUAUCAGCCACCGGGAGAUCAUCCGCAGAGGCAGAAAAGUGCAGCUUACGACAUCGCCGACUUUUUGACCAGCCGUGCGUGUUAAAAUGAAAAUUGCGCCGAACACGGAAACCGCUGAAACCUGGAACCGCUCCAGCUGAGUUAACGUAGUGACGCGGACGUGGCCGCAGUUUCCGAAACCGCAGUAGUCAGUGAGCUGGUUUUGAGGAAAGGGAGCCUUGAUUGCCGAUCCGCCUGGCCAAGAGAAGCCACCAAGUCAGUCGCAAUAAAGAGAGGAUUUGCAUGAAGGAGGAAUGAUCGGUCAACAUCGAGGCAGAAGGGGACCUUCAGGUCAGCUGACCGCAUCCGUGUUCAAGAACGCAUUGUGCUAAGUGUAGGCCAAAACAAGUGUGAGUUAACAAUAUACAUGUUGGAUAAUGCUUAACGCAAAUAUAAAGCUUGAGAUUUGUUCAAAAAGCCUUUGUGAUUCGAAACGUCCGAAACUCUGCUUUACGGUGGUUUCGUCGGGAACUUCCAACAACUUGGUGAAGCUUUGAGCGACAAAAUUUCUUAUGAACUAUUUCAGAUAUCUCCCCAAAUUGAACAACCUAUCACAGUAUGAUAAGAGUACACAUUUGCCUCAGAUCGUCUAAGCGUCUUCGGUGCACAUAUUCCUUGAUUUAUGCAAGGAAUAGGUAAGGUGCACUAAAGACUCGAUCCUGCACACUUUGAAAGUGUGUGCACACGUAAAGUGUCAGUUAAAUUUGGGCUGGACCCACAAUGUUUUAGAAGAAAGAAUAUUAUGCAAAAAAUAAUCUUGCAAUGCGUCACAUCACAUUUUGAGAGAACUUGGUGAACCAGCUUCGACUAUUUCUGACUAAUCACAAACAUUUCCUAUAAAGUAUUUCAAAGUUUUAUGAAAAGAAUAUGGUAUAGCUUGCAGUGCGUCACCUCGCAUGUUGAGAGAACUUUUGUGAACCAGUAUCGACUAUUUCUGACUAAUCACCAAAAUCUAUAUAUAUAAAAAUGCAGUGGCAUACGUGGGACCGCGCAUAACUUGCGAACGGAAGGACCGAUUUUGGUCGUCUUAGUUUUGUUCUGUUAGUUUUCACCCAAGGAAGGUUUAUGAGGCAAAAAACAUGGAAAAAUUGAGAGUUUUUGAAAAUCGAUCUUCCAUACAUUUUGACCGGGGACUUGGUCUUGGCUAGAAACUUGAAACGUCAAAAAACGCAGUAGGCAAGACAAAGUUUGCCGGGUACAGCUAGUU